CUUUUUGACAUGAUGUGUCUAAAGAUACCUGUGAAUAAGAGAAGAUGAGGUAUUCAUUGGAUGGAAAAGGAUUCCAGCAUCCAUACUAUUUUGCUUCCAUCUUAUGCUGAUAUUUUCUGACAAAAUCUAUACCCUCCCUCAAGUUUGCCAACUUGCUGUAGGUGGUCAUCAAGUCUGCUUCCCCAGGUUCAGGAGCUGAAAACAAUUAAACAAAGUGUCAGCAUGACAUUGCAGAUUUCCAGCAACUCCAGUUCUUCGCUUUAUUUUAGUGAAUGUCACUAACUGUCCUCUGGAUAAUUAGGGAAGGGCAAUAAAUACUUGCCAAACCAAUGAAGUCCACAUCCUGUGAAUGACUUAAAAGAGAUACCACUUUCUUGGGUUUGUUGGAGUUGCAUGCCCAUUGGACACCUUCUGAGAAUAUGGUAUUCAUAUGGCAUUCUUGGCAGUGAUUUUUGACAAUAUAUUUAAUCUUGCCAAAUCAUAACCGAAAGUAAUCCCACUAAAGUGCAGCCUGAUGAGUGGUUGCAAGACACAUCUCCAGUAACAGCUCCUUGACACUCCUGUCUCAGAAAUCCCCUGUUGAAGAUGAAAUAGGUUGCCUUCAAAGAAAGAGAAAGGUCAAAUUCUCAACCAGCAAAUGAAAGUCAGAAUCAAUGUGUGAACAAUAUCAUCUCAUCAGCAAAGAACUGGAAAGGAAUUGAAACGAAGAGAAAGAAA